rnacentral:rRNA from 1 species
AUGAACGCUGGCGGCGUGCCUAAUACAUGCAAGUCGAGCGAACAGAUGAGGAGCUUGCUCCUCUGACGUUAGCGGCGGACGGGUGAGUAACACGUGGAUAACCUACCUAUAAGACUGGGAUAACUUCGGGAAACCGGAGCUAAUACCGGAUAAAUAUUUAAACGCAAGGGUUAAUAGGGAAAGACGGGUUUGGUGGCACCUAUAGAAGGAACCGCGCCGCAUUAGCUAGUUGGUAAGGUAACGGCUUACCAAGGCAACGAUGCGUAGCCGACCUGAGAGGGUGAUCGGCCACACUGGAACUGAGACACGGUCCAGACUCCUACGGGAGGCAGCAGUAGGGAAUCUUCCGCAAUGGGCGAAAGCCUGACGGAGCAACGCCGCGUGAGUGAUGAAGGUCUUCGGAUCGUAAAACUCUGUUAUUAGGGAAGAACAAAUGUGUAAGUAACUAUGCACGUCUUGACGGUACCUAAUCAGAAAGCCACGGCUAACUACGUG